CUUGUUCAGCGCUUGCACUUUCCGCCGCUCGAACUCGAGCUACGCCCACAAUUCCCGGAUCUAGGCUUUCGCCAUCUCCAGCUCGGCGCCGACCCCGUAUAUCGCCCACGAGGUGUUCGACGUAAUGCCGCAGAGCAAUGGGGACGAAAUUAAAGGAAACUAGUGAAAGAAAAAUGGAGAAGGGGAAGGGAAAGAGACGAAGUGGAAGGAGCAGGGAAAUGAGGUCCUAUUUUGGAAAGAUAUGGAGAAGAAGACGAGCAUCGUCAGGAAGCAGUAUGAG
rnacentral:lncRNA from 1 species